rnacentral:rRNA from 1 species
AUUGAACGCUGGCGGCAGGCCUAACACAUGCAAGUCGAACGGUAACAGAAAGCAGCUUGCUGCUUUGCUGACGAGUGGCGGACGGGUGAGUAAUGUCUGGGAAACUGCCUGAUGGAGGGGGAUAACUACUGGAAACGGUAGCUAAUACCGCAUAACGUCGCAAGACCAAAGAGGGGGACCUUCGGGCCUCUUGCCAUCGGAUGUGCCCAGAUGGGAUUAGCUAGUAGGUGGGGUAACGGCUCACCUAGGCGACGAUCCCUAGCUGGUCUGAGAGGAUGACCAGCCACACGGGAACUGAGACACGGUCCAGACACCUACGGGAGGCAGCAGUGGGGAAUAUUGCACAAUGGGCGCAAGCCUGAUGCAGCCAUGCCGCGUGUAUGAAGAAGGCCUUCGGGUUGUAAAGUACUUUCAGCGGGGAGGAAGGGAGUAAAGUUAAUACCUUUGCUCAUUGACGUUACCCGCAGAAGAAGCACCGGCUAACUCCGUG